rnacentral:lncRNA from 1 species
UCAUUUUGGGCAUUUGGUCUUGAUAUCCUAACCGGCGCCGCCCUGACAGGCGGAGGAGGAGGUGGUGGUGGAGGCGCAUUUCUCUUUCUCCUAGCUUUUUUGGAUGUGAACAGGUUCUGAAACAACGAAGGAGGUGGUGGCGGAGGUGGAGUGAUGAAUGUUUCCGGCCAUUCAUGAUAAUGGAGAGGAGGAGGUUCUGAUUUAUGGAGGAGAGCAUCAAAAUUAUCGACACUCUUUGACCUGUUUUUCCUCUUCUUCUUAUGAUACAAAGAAUUGAUAAACUCUUUUGUAGCACUUGCACCACCUCUUUUCCUAUCGCUUUUACUGCUCCUCGGCUCCACGUAUUGCGGCAAUGGUGGCGGUGGCGGUGGUGGAGGUGGAGGAGGAGGAGGUGUCACCGGUGCCCUAACAACUUCAUUUGCUUCUACCUCAUGAUUUUCCCUCUUCUUCCUUGUUCUCUCCUUUUUACGCGGAACACUAUGAGUUGCUCUCUUCACCUUCUCCUCAUAUACUACUGGUGCCGG